rnacentral:rRNA from 1 species
ACCUACGGGGGGCAGCAGUGGGGGAUAUUGCACAAUGGGGGGAACCCUGAUGCAGCGACGCCGCGUGGGUGAAGAAGCGCCUCGGCGCGUAAAGCCCUGUCAGCAGGGAAGAAAAUGACGGUACCUGAAGAAGAAGCCCCGGCUAACUACGUGCCAGCAGCCGCGGUAAUACGUAGGGGGCAAGCGUUAUCCGGAUUUACUGGGUGUAAAGGGAGCGUAGACGGCGAUGCAAGUCUGAAGUGAAAGGCGGGGGCCCAACCCCCGGACUGCUUUGGAAACUGGAUAGCUGGAGUGCAGGAGAGGGA